rnacentral:rRNA from 1 species
ACGCUCGACACCUACGGAGGCAGCAGUGGGGAAUAUUGCACAAUGGGGGAAACCCUGAUGCAGCGACGCCGCGUGAGCGAAGAAGUAUCUCGGUAUGUAAAGCUCUAUCAGCAGGGAAGAAGAAUGACGGUACCUGACUAAGAAGCUCCGGCUAAAUACGUGCCAGCAGCCGCGGUAAUCUGAGCGGGCUGGCAAGGC